rnacentral:ncRNA from 1 species
GCAUCUGAAAUCAGGCAAGAUCACCCGCUGAACUUAAGCAUAUUACUAAGCGGAGGAAAAGAAAUCAACGAAGAUUGCCUCAGUAGCGGCGAGUGAAGCGGCAAUAGCUCAAGUUUAGAAUCUGCAGUCGUCUCGGCUGCCGAAUUGUAAUCUAAAGGGGGUUAACAAAAGGGGGAAGUAGAGGGCAUAAGUUCCUUGGAACAGGACGUCAAAGAGGGUGAAAACCCCGUAUGCAGCCUUCACUGAACCGAAUGAUGGCUUUCUAAGAGUCGGGUUGUUUGGGAUUGCAGCCCUAAAUGGGAGAUAAACUUCUUCUAAGGCUAAAUAUCUAUGGGAAACCGAUAGCGAACAAGUACUGUGAAGGAAAGGUGAAAAGAACUUUGAAAAGAGGGUUAAAAGACUUGAAAUCGUUGAGAAGGAAGCAGUAAAAGUGGAUUUGAAUUAGUUAUGAAGUAAGCCAUGUGAGGAACCGGCUUGAAGUGGCUGAUGUACGUCAUUGGCUAAGCUAUUUCAAUGUAACGGCACUCUAUGGUGAUUUCAUAGCUAAAGGGCAGAACCAGGUCUGUGCCUGCAGGAAUCAGUUAGGGCGGAGUCCACGGCUUGCCGUGAAUGCCUUGACAAAACUGUAGGUUGGCCUGAGGAAAAUGAGGUUCUGCCACAACGGCUUUUACUGACCCGUCUUGAAACACGGACCAAGGAGUCUAUCACAUAUGCGAGUUUGCGAGUGCAAAAACUCAUAGGCUUAAUGAAAGUAAGUAUAAGGUGCCAGGGAGGGAGGUACGCCUCUUUUCUGCAGCAUCGACCGACCAUGAUCUUCUGUGAAAGGUUCGAGUAAGAGCAUAUUUGGUAGGACCCGAAAGAUGGUGAACUAUGCUUGAGUAGGGUGAAGCCAGGGGAAACUCUGGUGGAGGCUCGUAGCGAUACUGACGUGCAAAUCGUUCGUCAAACUUGAGUAUAGGGGCGAAAGACUAAUCGAACCAUCUAGUAGCUGGUUCCCUCUGAAGUUUCUCUCAGGAUAGCUGGAACGUAUAAUGCAGUUUUAUUAGGUAAAGCGAAUGAUUAGAGGCAUCAGAGGUGAAAC